rnacentral:rRNA from 1 species
AACGAACGCUGGCGGCAUGCCUAACACAUGCAAGUCGAACGAGAUCCUUCGGGGUCUAGUGGCGCACGGGUGCGUAACGCGUGGGAAUCUGCCCUUAGGUUCGGAAUUACAGUUAGAAAUGACUGCUAAUACCGGAUGAUGACGUUAAGUCCAAAGAUUUAUCGCCUGAGGAUGAGCCCGCGUAGGAUUAGCUAGUUGGUGUGGUAAAGGCGCACCAAGGCGACGAUCCUUAGCUGGUCUGAGAGGAUGAUCAGCCACACUGGGACUGAGACACGGCCCAGACUCCUACGGGAGGCAGCAGUGGGGAAUAUUGGACAAUGGGCGCAAGCCUGAUCCAGCAAUGCCGCGUGAGUGAUGAAGGCCUUAGGGUUGUAAAGCUCUUUUACCCGGGAUGAUAAUGACAGUACCGGAAGAAUAAGCCCCGGCUAACUCCGUG